rnacentral:rRNA from 1 species
AAUGAACGCUGGCGGCAUGCCUUACACAUGCAAGUCGAACGGCAGCAUGACCUAGCUUGCUAGGUUGAUGGCGAGUGGCGAACGGGUGAGUAAUGCAUCGGAACGUGCCUUUUAGUGGGGGAUAACGUAGCGAAAGUUACGCUAAUACCGCAUAUUCUCUGAGGAGGAAAGCAGGGGACCUUCGGGCCUUGCGCUAGAAGAGCGGCCGAUGUCGGAUUAGCUAGUUGGUGAGGUAAAGGCUCACCAAGGCAACGAUCCGUAGCGGGUCUGAGAGGAUGAUCCGCCACACUGGGACUGAGACACGGCCCAGACUCCUACGGGAGGCAGCAGUGGGGAAUUUUGGACAAUGGGCGCAAGCCUGAUCCAGCCAUGCCGCGUGAGUGAAGAAGGCCUUCGGGUUGUAAAGCUCUUUCGGCUGGGAAGAAAUCGCACCCUCUAAUACAGGGUGUGGAUGACGGUACCAUCAUAAGAAGCACCGGCUAACUACGUG